GACGAACGCUGGCGGCGUGCUUAACACAUGCAAGUCGAACGGAAAGGCCCUGCUUUUGUGGGGUGCUCGAGUGGCGAACGGGUGAGUAACGCGUGAGUAACCUGCCCUUGACUUUGUGAUAACUUCAGGAAACUGGGGCUAAUACCGGAUAGGAGCUCCUGCUGCAUGGUGGGGGUUGGAAAGUUUCGGCGGUUGGGGAUGGACUCGCGGCUUAUCAGCUUGUUGGUGGGGUAGUGGCUUACCAAGGCUUUGACGGGUAGCCGGCCUGAGAGGGUGACCGGCCACAUUGGGACUGAGAUACGGCCCAGACUCCUACGGGAGGCAGCAGUGGGGAAUAUUGCACAAUGGGCGGAAGCCUGAUGCAGCAACGCCGCGUGCGGGAUGACGGCCUUCGGGUUGUAAACCGCUUUCGCCUGUGACGAAGCGUGAGUGACGGUAAUGGGUAAAGAAGCACCGGCUAACUACGUG
rnacentral:rRNA from 1 species